AGCAGUCGCCACGGUAAUACGUAGGCCCCGAGCGUUGUCCGGAUUUAUUGGGCGUAAAGCGAGCGCAGGCGGUUAGAUAAGUCUGAAGUUAAAGGCUGAGGCUUAACCAUAGUACGCUUUGGAAACUGUUUAACUUGAGUGCAAGAGGGGAGAGUGGAAUUCCAUGUGUAGCGGUGAAAUGCGUAGAUAUAUGGAGGAACACCGGUGGCGAAAGCGGCUCUCUGGCUUGUAACUGACGCUGAGGCUCGAAAGCGUGGGGAGCAAACAGGAUUAGAUACCCCUGUAGUCCCUGUCUCUUAUACA
rnacentral:rRNA from 1 species